UCUCUGAUUUGAAAUUCCUCUUGCAGAUGUCACUGUCCACGAGGCUUCAAUGGUUAUCGCUGUGAAUCCAACAUAGAUGACUGUACAAACCAUUCCUGCCAGAAUAAUGCCACUUGUAUUGAUUUAGUGGAAACAUAUACCUGUCAAUGUCCUAUUGGUUAUAUAGGUAAACACUGUCAGAAGAAAAUUGUGUUUUGUGAAGGAGAGUAUGAUAUGUGUGAGAAUGGUGCUACCUGUAAGCCUAAAGGUGAUGAUUACAGCUGCGAAUGUCUACCAGGUUACACAGGUAAAAAUUGUUCAGAAAACAUAGAUGAAUGCCGCUCUCAUAUUUGUCAGAAUGGUGCCAAAUGCAUGGAUGGCCUCAAUGGAUACACGUGUAUUUGCCCACCUGGUUACCUAGGCAACUUCUGUGAAAUAGCACCAAUCCAACAGUCAGGUGUACAACAACCCAGUGCCUGCCUUCACCACGAAUGUAAAAACAAUGGACUUUGUUAUUUGCCUUCCACCACAUCCGACUACAUGUGCCGCUGUGCCGCAGGUUUUGCCGGCAAGAAAUGUGAAAAGCUUCAUACAGUUUCCCUACACGAAGAAGAUUCAUACAUAAAGUUGCCACCAUUACAGGUAGACCCUAAAGCCAAUAUAACCAUUGUAUUCUCUGCUAAGCAAGACAAUGGUAUUUUGCUCUACACCGGCUUUGAACAACAUGUCGCAGCAGAGUUGUUCCGAGGCCGAAUUAGGAUCAGUUUUGAUGUUGGCAACUAUCCAGUAUCUUCAAUGUUCAGCUUCAAAACAGUAAACGAUGGCAACUUCCAUCAUUUGCAAAUGAUGAUUGAGAAAAAGAAUUUCACCAUGAUUGUCGAUGGAGGCAUUUCCCGUACCAUUGUGAACGAAGGAUCUCGUGAGAGUCUGGAUGUCACUGAUUCCUUGUAUCUUGGAGGACUUCCUCCUGAUGUCAAUGACAGGGCUCUGAAAAAUUGGCAUAUACGAGACAAAGCUAGCUUUGUUGGAUGUCUCCAAAAAGUCUUGAUUAACGGACACCAAUUAGACUUCAGCUCAUCACUUUACAACCAUAAACUAAUCCCUGGAUGCCAAGAGUUAAAAAAGCAAGAUCCAUGCGCAAACCACAAAUGUAAGCAUGGCAAGUGCACCAGUCGUAAAGACAGUACUUAUAAAUGCCGGUGUCGGGAAGGUUAUUCUGGAACAUACUGUGAUGUAGGUGAAGAUAUAGAAGUGAAAAAGAUGAACCCCUGUGACAAACAUGAUUGUAGGCAGGGUCGAUGUACCCCCCAGAAGGACAACACAUAUAAAUGUCGCUGUAGACGUGGUUACACUGGCCAAAGAUGUGACAUAGCACCAACUUGCCGUGACAUAGCCUACAAAGAGACCCACAAGGACCCUAAGACAGGCUGCAAAUCACGGACCAAGGUGAAAUUUCGGCGCUGUGAGGGUUCAUGCGGCCGUCACUGUUGCAAGCCGAAGAAAAUCAAAACCCGCCGUGUACGACUGUUCUGUGCAGAUGGAACCAAUUUCGUCUAUAACCUACCAGUGAUCCGAAAGUGUGGUUGCAAGCGCUGCUGACAGAGGUCACUGCCUGGGGCAGGGGGUUGGAAAGGGCUAUAUAUGUUUACAUAUAGACUUACACACAUGCAUACACAUAUAUACACACAGUCAUCUACAGAUGUGUGGAUUUACAUAUAUGCAACUGCAUGUGCAUGUAUAUAUAUAUACUUAUGCAUAUACAUAUAUAUACGUGAAUAGAGAAAAUGAACAUGUGUGAGAGAGAGAGAGAGGACAAGAAAACGAUGGAAUAAAUGAAUUUUGGAUAGAUAGAUAGAUAGAUAGAUAGAUAGAUAGAUAGAUAGAUAGAUAGAUAGAUAGAUAGAUAGAUAGAAUUGUAGAUGAAUGGAGAGAAGUAGAAUGAAGGG
rnacentral:misc_RNA from 1 species